GAGAUUUUACCCAGCAUUCCCUGUCUCUUCUUGCCAAGAUUUGCCCAAAUUGCCUCCUGACUGGCUGGUGUCAUAGUGCAUGCCUGAUGUUCACACUCAUGGGGUAUCACCUCGUGGACAUUUCUACUCAUGCGAUGUCACCUUGCAGCUCAGACUCUGAAGUGGGGUAGCUGCUUGCUUUCCUGGUUCCAACCCUUUAACUCUUCAUUGGUGAGUCCCUCUGGGUUCGUGCAGACUUGACCCUUCCUCCUGCUCAUGAUGAACAGCAGCCUAGAGAACAUUCCCUGACAGAGGUCCUUUGAGCCACAGCAGCCUCGUCCUGAUCUAAGAGUCCCCAAAUGCCAUCUUUGUUGAGGAACCUACGCUCAGUCAUCCCAUUGGCCCAGGGGAAGACAGAACACACAACUCCAACCCAGAUGCAUUGGCAGCAUGAAGAAUCAGUGUUGGGAACAUGUGGAACCAGCUUGCUUUUCCGGUUGCAAGAGGACCCUUCACUACUUCAGAAAAAGCUACAGGAGCAAGAUCCUUCCUGAAUACUGACCAUGAGACAUCAGUCCAAUUGGCUCAUUCUUCAUAGCUCCCUGCCUCCAUCGCUGAGAAUCAAACCCAGGGUCUCGUGGAGGUAAGCCCUAUACAGUGAACUCUACCCCGCUUUAGUAGGCUAAACAAAACACAUAAAAUAAAGAUGUAUGUGUUGGGGCCAGAUUGGGGGGGCGCACCCUGAAAUACUAGCAUUUGGAGUGCAGACGCAGGAGGAUCAGAAGUUCAUGGUCAUCCUGUGGGCAUAUUACAAUUUCCGGUCCAGCAACCUGAACUAUGUGAGACUACGUGAGACCCUUUCUAAAAAUGAAUGAAAGAGCAAAUGAAAGGACACACGAAAGGAAGAAAGUUAAGUAUAUACUUCCAAAAAACAACAGGGUGCUUUGCUAGUUUGUGAAGUGGCUAAGUCCUGGUUCAUUUUUCUUAACUUGGUCACCUACAAAGACCCUAUACCCAAAUAACACCACAUCCAUAGACAUUUAGGGUUAGGAGUUCAAUAUCAUUUUGGAGGACCAUAACUCAACCCUCAACCACUACCUACCAAAAAGUAUUUCUAGAUGCUGAUGCAAACAGGCAGUUAUGGGUGAGAACCACAAGACCGGGUUCUGUUCUCCCUACUCUCAAACCUUCCACUCUACUUAUCAAUGUUUUGAGUUCUUUCAUCAUCAGCUAGAACUUUCCGGGUACAGAAGAAAGAGAGUGCGAACCUCAGGUACCUCCCGAAAACCACACCGCCCCCAGGUACUUUUCCAAGGGAGGUGUGAUGGCUAAAGGGCUCCUCUGUCUGGACUCUUGAAUGGAGGAGGACGAGGGCCAGAGCUGCAGAGUUCUGUGCCGCAUCCAUUCAGAUGCACACAUCUCUGUGCUGUGGCUAUGUAUGUUUUUGGAUGUUCUGUGGACUUGGUCUUGGCACCCAGGGAAGACAAUAAUGUCUGGAAGGGGCUUCACAUGAGCUUUUGUGGUCACAUUAGGCUCGAAGCCGAGAAAAUCAGAGGGCAGCAACAGACACUUCCAACGAGAACAAGACGGGAACCAAAGAAGAAAGAGGGCCAGAGUCUUUCAAAGCCACCUUGUUGACCUUGCCCAGGGGUGAUUAAUUAUACAUCAUCACAGGACACGGCACUUGUUUCAGAAAGGCUUGUCAGUGGAAGGCAACCGUUUGGGUUUUUAUGGAAUCAAUCCAGGUGAUUAGGGAAGAAGCAAGACUUGGGCAAAGGGAAAAAAAAUCUACAAAGCAGCCUCGCUGCACGCGCAUAUUUGCUCUUUCAAAGCAAAUUCUGCAGGAAAUCCCAGCUGUUGAUGCAAACCUUCACAGCUAAUUUGCUCCCAGGGGCAUAUUGGCGACCAUUAUCCCAGAAGCAUACACAUGAAAAUCCCAUUAUUUGGAAUAUAUUCAUUGUGUUUCUGUUUAACUCUAGGCUGUGUGCUGAGGAGUUAGGAGUAUGGGAGAGAAAGAGGAGAAGGAUGGAAGUGAUCUCUGCUGCCUUCUGCCAACAGGAAGGACGCCCUCCUGGCGGCACAUGCAGGCUGCUAUUAUGGAGAGUGUUUAAAACCACAGGAGAAUGCUCCAUUCCUCCUAAAAUCAGUACAGGAAGACAAUGCGUACUACUUUGCUGGAGAGAUGGGAUAAAAUAUCAGCCAAGGGAAUUAUCUGAUCCUAGUCUGCCUUCCCUUACUGCCAUCGUCUGCAAACUGACCCAGCCUGUGCUCUUUUCAGUGCUGACCCCACACCAUCAUGUAGAGCUCUUCCACAUAGGUCAUCCUCACCCAGUUUCUUGGCUGCUAGAACUGCCCCCAACUCCUCAGUCUUCCAUGCGUCUUCCUGCCUCCUCCUUCAAGAACCCCAGUGUGACACACCUCGCCACCAUGCACCUGGUACAGAUGCUUGGAGAAAGGCUGUCGUGUGCCCUCCCGUGGAGGAGCUCAGCAGCACAGACAAGGUGAGCACCUGGAUGCUAACUUUGCAGUCAUUAGGCCCCUGUAGCCAUUCACAGACACUGGAAACCACUGUUCUAGUGAAGCUUUGAUGAACACACUGCUCCUGACUAGUCAGUGAGUCUGGUUUUCUUCUUAGAGCGCUUCCGGGGUUGUCCAUCAAGAGACCAAAGAAGGAACUCGCAACCCACAGCCACACACCAGCUUUUUCCGUCCUCUCCAGGUCAAACCAUUAUUUUCUAUUAACCUUUUCCAACACAUGAAGAUGAAAGGGGGAAUUGUACAAGGAAUCCUUACCAUCAACAUCGUUACUACCAUGUGGCCCACCUGGGCCUCAUGACUGUUUAGCCUAUUGACUGCUUAGCUUGCCGUUAGUCCAUCACAAAGCUACUUGCCAACUUUGGCUCUUGCAUUGGUGGCACAUGGACGUUGAUCAAACCUUCAUGGAGCUCUACCAACUGACAAGUCAUAGGACUGUGCAAUGUGCCAGCUCUGGGGACAUAAAUAAGCAAAAGAGAAAUUAUAACCGUAUGCAAAUUACAAAUAUAAAGAGAAAGUACUACCAAAGGUGAAUGGAGCAGCCACCCAGUAGAAUCUACGCAUUGGUUAAAUGAAAGAAUUCUGUCUCUCCUGUAUAGUUUACCCAGAUUCAUGUAUGAUUUUCUUGCAUCCAUAUAUUAGAGAUCAACAUAGAUGAUCCAUCCAAAUCAAACAUUCAGAACUCUUCAUGGGAAGAAAGGAAGAGAGAAAUUUGACAUUGCCAUGUUUGUGAACUUCUGUCCUGGGAAGCUUCUAUCCAAUGAGAGAUACCUUUGAAGUUUGCCCUUAUGAUACAUACCAUUAGGUGACAGAUGCAGAGAGGGGAACCUGGGGUCCUCUUUGAGAUCGAUUUGCAAAGGCUGGAUAAGACUUGGGAAGAGAGAGAACACCAAGGGAGCAGAAAGACCAAGCCCAGCAUGGCUGCAGGAAGAGGCGAACAUGAACAAAGUGAACCUUCUCUCUCCAGCACUACUUCAAGCGGGUUGUGCUCAUUUUCCAACGCUAAUAAAAUCCUUCCCAAGGUUUGCUUUCUAACACCUAAUAAAAACUCAAAGAAACAAGGCCAAGUGUAGUGAAGGACACGUAUAAUCCCAGAGCUCUGAGAGCAGAGGCAGAAGAACUGCAGCAAGUUCAUCAAGGCUUGCCUGGUCUACACAGCAAGUUUCGGGCCAGCCAAUGAAACACAGCAAGACCUCCUCCCAAGACACCAAACAAACAUUAAAGAAAACCUUAAAGGAACAUGUCUUUGUUGAGGAGUGGAAAUUUGUUAUUAUACUUCCAAUAAAAAGUAAAGUGUUGCAUUUCCUUAAACAUAAACAAAAACCAAUGCGUAGCAAAGAAGACAAGCAGAAGUCAGUUAUGAGGGGUGGAUUUUAAUUCUUAACUGUCUUGUGAUCAUUUUGUGAUCAUCCCUUUUCUCACAAUACUCAUUAUAACUACUUUCCAAGGAAACCCACUCAUUCUGUAUUAAUAGUGUCUUUCUAAUGAGCAAUAA